GAAGAGUUUAUGCAUGUUACAUUUGUUGAGUCUAACCAUUCCUCUACGGAGAAAGUUGUUAUGGAUGAUGAUGUAGAUGAAAAGCUACAAGAAGAUUCAUCAAAGGAUAGCCAAAAGAAUGUAGAAAACCAAGAGCAGUAACAUAAAGAGACAAAUGCGAAGCAAAAUGAAGGUAUUUCUCAAUCACUCCCCAAGGAAUGGAGGUAU
rnacentral:lncRNA from 1 species